rnacentral:sRNA from 1 species
GCGGUCAUAUUGUUUUCC